CACAAAUAUGAUGUAAAACUAGGGGGUUUAAGCAAUGGUACAUUUCUAUACAGUUUAGAAUCUCAAUUAGGUCAACAUACUAGAUCACAUUAAAGGUGUGACAAAGUUAGUUUCCAGCCAGAUUCCUUCCCAAAUGAUUAAUUCCUGAUUAGCUAUUAUCUAGGACUCUAAAUGCAAAAAAUGCAUCCAGCAUUAAAGAGACAAAUUCUUGAAUGAGCUUCUUCUGCUUUACUGAACAGCUGAACACGUUUGGAGGAGAACACUAACUGCCAAUUAUGUCCCAUUAAUGAAUAAUACGCCUGGUUAACACUGAGUGACUGAUGAGAAGGGAUGGUCUAUGUGUGGCAGGAUGGGUGUUUUUGUCUGGUCAUCUGUAAGCAUUUGGGCUAAAUAAAGCUCUGUGUUAGAAUAUUAGUGAUUUGCUUACUUUUUCUACUUUAACUGACGUGGGUUGUUUACAAACAUCCAGCAAAUCUUUCCCUUUUUGUCAGCCGGCUGUGGGUGGUGUAAUUCCUGCGUGCCUAAUUCUAAUAUAUGGGUUGAUUGCCUUUAGUUCAUUGGCUGAAUAAUCUGACCUGGGACUAUAUGUAGGCCAGGUGGCUGUUACCUGGGACACACCCUCUGUGGUUCCCACCCCCCUUCCUCGGCGUGCUGCUGGGCGAGGUCUGCAGUUUGGCGUUUGGUGUGGCUGGGUGAAUGCUCUCCUUUGUCUUGGGAAUUCUCCCAAGCGUGCGUGCUGAGGCAUUUGUGAGGAGAUUGCUCCGGUGGUUUAUGCCACGUGCAAAGGUUUCCGUCUAUGGUAGGUUAUAAUUUCCUUUCACUGACUUUGAUGCUAUAAUAAACCCUCAGUGGGUUAAUCUGGUUUAUAUCUUUAGUGUGAAGCUACGAGAAGUGUUGUGACUUUCCCGCUGUCUGCCGUGGAGAAGUGAAGCCUUGGAAGCUGGGGUGGUGGAGUACGGGGAGUGUCCAAUACAGCUCUACCCGUGUGUGUGUGAGAUCACCUGUGUCCCCCUCUUCGCGGAGGCUCCUCCCCCUGCAUUAGUGCUUUUUUUUUUUUUUUUUUAGGCUUUGUGGUUCUUUUCUAUUUUUCCCUUUGCUUAUUUUUGUUAUAUUUUGUGUUAAUUGUUUUGUAUGUCCAGACUCAAUCCUGGUGUGUGUGCUGCCUCCGGUGAGCUGUAGCGGACUGGUUUGCUUUUUUUUUUUUUCUGAACGCGCGCUGCAUGUGACUCAGCGCGCUGUGUGUGUGUGUGUCUGUGUAUGUGUUACUAUACUUCCUGGGUCCUGAGUUGCGCGCUGCUGCGGGAGGGAAAGCCUGUAUGGUCAGUAAGCGUGAUUUAUUUCUUUAUGUUGCCGGGCUGUGUAUGGUUUAGUUGUGUUGGUAUAAUUGUUUAUUUGAGUUAAUUUGUUUUUGUUUUCUUUUGUGUCCGAACAGGAGCUGGAAGCGGUGACAGGCUGCUGAGGUGUUGAAGUCUAACUGGGUGUGCUUAGUGGUGUUUGUGUGCUGUGUAGUGGGGACUCCUCUCACCUGCAGUUAGCACUGGUCACAGUGUGCUCCAGCCCUGUUCAGGUUUUGUUUUUGAUUUUUAGUGUUUGUGUUUCUUUUUGUAUUUAUUUAUUGAUUUAUUGGUUUUGUUUUUUUGUAAUAUUUGAUAUUUAUUAAAAGUUAUAUUUUUAAGUAACCCUGUCUCAGACCAUGUGACUUGAACCUGUGUGACCUUAAUUCAAUUGGUAGAUUAAAACUUGGGUUUUGGGGUCAUUCUUUUAAUUCCUGGGUUGUCCAGGUGGCGUAGUUGGCUACCAAUUUAGUUAUUUAUUGGGUUCAUCCAUUUAAGAGCAUAAAUAACUACCCCCAUACCGUACUGUACUUGCCACAUAUGCAUUUUCUCAUUUCCUUCUUCCCCUCCUUUACUCCUUUAUCCCAUUAGUACCCUUCGACCUCCUGUAGGCCCUAUCUGAAAAUGUUUUUGUUUUUUUUUUACCUUUAAUUUCUAUUACUUUUGUAAUACACUACUGUAAGUCGCUUUGGACAAAAGUGUCUGCCAAAUGUAAUGUAAUGCAUUCUGCUAUACCUUCUGAUAACAUGUAUUUGGUGUUGAAAAAACAAGCAAACAAACAAAAUAAAACAUCAAACCUUCAAUACCUGAA